rnacentral:rRNA from 1 species
CCUACGGGUGGCAGCAGUCGAGAAUCAUUCACAAUGGGGGAAACCCUGAUGGUGCGACGCCGCGUGGGGGAAUGAAGGCCUUCGGAUUGUAAACCCCUUUUAUGUGGGAGCAAAUUAAAAAGAUAGUACCGUAAGAGGAAGAGACGGCGAACGCGGUGCCAGCAGCCGCGGUAAUACAGAGGUCUCAAGCGUUGUUCGGAAUCACUGGGCGUAAAGGGUUCGGAGGGUGGUACGGAAGUCGUGUGGGAAAGGGGCGGGCUCAACCCGCGGACGGCACAUGAUACUGCGGGACUAGAGUGAGGGAGGGGGAAGCGGAAUGCUCGGUGUAGCAGUGAAAUGCGUAGAUAUCGAGAGGAACACUCGUGGCGAAGGCGGGUUCCUGGACAUUAACUGACGCUGAGGCACGAAGGCCAGGGGAGCGAAAGGGAUUAGAUACCCGUGUAGUC